AUUGAACGCUGGCGGCAUGCCUUACACAUGCAAGUCGAACGGUAACAGGUCUUCGGAUGCUGACGAGUGGCGAACGGGUGAGUAAUACAUCGGAACGUGCCCGAUCGUGGGGGAUAACGAAGCGAAAGCUUUGCUAAUACCGCAUAAGAUCUACGGAUGAAAGCAGGGGACCGCAAGGCCUUGCGCGAACGGAGCGGCCGAUGGUAGAUUAGGUAGUUGGUGGGAUAAAAGCUUACCAAGCCGACGAUCUGUAGCUGGUCUGAGAGGACGACCAGCCACACUGGGACUGAGACACGGCCCAGACUCCUACGGGAGGCAGCAGUGGGGAAUUUUGGACAAUGGGCGAAAGCCUGAUCCAGCCAUGCCGCGUGCAGGAUGAAGGCCUUCGGGUUGUAAACUGCUUUUGUACGGAACGAAAAGACUCUUUCUAAUAAAGAGGGUCCAUGACGGUACCGUAGGAAUAAGCACCGGCUAACUACGUGCCAGCAGCCGCCGUAA
rnacentral:rRNA from 1 species